AUGGCCUGGACCCUUGUCCUGCUCCCCCUCUUCUCUCUCUGCACAGGCCUCGUGGUCUCCUAUGAGCUGACCCAGCCACCCUCUGUGUCAGUGACCCCGGGAGAGACGGUCAAGAUCACGUGCUCUGGAGAUUUACUAGGGAAAAAAUAUGCAUCGUGGUUUCAGCAGAAGCCCGGCAAGGCCCCCGAGCUGAUCAUUUAUAAGUACAGCGAGCGGCCCUCAGGGGUCCCUGACCGGUUCUCAGGCUCCAACUCAGGGAACACGGUCACCCUGACCAUCAGUGGGGCCCGAGCCGAGGACGAGGCGGACUAUCACUGUCAGUCAUGGGACAGCAGUGGUAAUGCUCACAGUGACACAGGCAGAUGGGGAAGUGGGACAGAAACCCCAUCCCCGUCUGUGUCACACAGUCCGCCAGCCCCAGGAGGACUGUAG